rnacentral:rRNA from 1 species
AUGGGCGCUGGCUUGUAUGGCUAUAUAGAUCAAAUCCUAGAGGAGCCUCCCAAAACCAUCACCACAAAAGAUAAAGAGGGCAAGGACCAGGUGAUCCCGAGCCCUGCCUAUGCCCCAUGGCUCGUCCAGGAUCAGCAAAUCAUCGUGUACCUCCUUUGCAAUCUCUCCAAAGAGGUGCUCGUUCAAGUCGCAUCGAUGGAAACCUCGCAUGCCAUCUGGACGAUGUUGAGCACCAUGUUCUCAGCCGUCUCCCUCUCACGCGUCAACAACAUCCGUGCCUCCCUCACCAACGCACAGAAGGGCAACCAGUCGGCAGCAGCAUACUUUGGCGCCAUGCGU